rnacentral:lncRNA from 1 species
GCCAUUAUCUUUGGGUUAAUGCAUAGCACCAGCGUUCAUUCCGCAGCAGCAUCCACAAGACUUCAACGCUCGCAGUUUAUAUGCAUGCAACGGCGGUCGUAUCAUAAGGAGUAUUGUGAGAAUGUCAGGUCAGGUCAGCCCUCUUAAUUAAUCAUCACUAGUCGUCAACCCGUGCACCUGCACGGGCUAGUACUUUUUUAUUCACACAUUUACACAAACAAUCACAAAGCAAGUAUUAUGUAUUAGAAAUGAAAUAUGUAGGAACAAUAUAGGAGAAAGUUGCAUUAUUAUUAUUUUGAACCACAAUGUUUUUCUCAACCAUAGGAUUAAAAGGAAGUACAUUCCUUCAAAUAGUUCCUCAUUCAUAGUUCCUUAUAUUACUAAGUGAACUGCAUCAUUAAAGAGCUUUAAGAGAUGGGAGAGAAUCGGCCAAAGUUCUAUCCCCAGCCCAUGUUUACACAUGAUGUACUAUUGUACUAUAACAUAUUUCAAAACUUACUUUUUUCAUUGAUAUAUCAAUAUGUUCUCUCCCUAGUAAAAAAAAACAAACUUUAUGUAUUUUUAGGCAUUCAAAAGUUAUUUAGUUCUAUAAACCUCUAAAGUAGAGAAUAAUAAUGUUUGAACCAAGGGGAUGUAAACCAAUAAAAAUCAAAUCACUAAUAGAGAAAGAACCUGUAUUAAACCAUAAUUAUUCAAGGUAAAUAUGUUGAAGUUAAGGAGACAUAGAUAGAUACAGUGGACGAUAUGGAAAUAGUCAUAAAUCUACAUGUAUCGACGCACAAAUACAUCAUGAGUCCUCAAGAUACACCAGUUCGUAAAUCUCAACCACCUUGCCAUCUUGAGUGCUACUCGAUCAUCCAUUCUCCUGGAAAAUGUAUAUUUCACAAAAAUCUUGGUACAUGUAUGCAAAUACAAUGCAUCAAAAUAGGCAGAUGCUAACAACAGUAUACACCUCGCGUGCUAUUCCAUGAUCCUUUUUCCUACAAUAUAAAUUUGAUAAAGUCAAGAAUUUAGAAUAGAAAUAUAUUGUGCAUCAAUAAUACAAAGAUGCUGGCAAAAUAUAUACUGUGAUAUCUAAUGAAGCAUAUAUGUGGAAAGGUCUCGCCCAUGUCACCUGAUAAAGCCUGCUUUACCAUUGGAUACAGAGUUCACAUUCAUGCAAGUAGAUAAGAGCCUGGAACAUAUUUACCUUCUAAUAUGUGAAUGCAUGGAUGUAAGAUAGGAAAACCGAUUCAAUGUAAAAAUAAUCAUGCCUAUGCACAUCAUGGAGAUCUUAUCAUGAUGCAACAGAUCAAAUUUUAAGUUAGGCACUGGUGAAAUUACUCUUGGUAAGGAACAAUAGCAGGCAAUUUAUUUGCCCUUUUUCAUAAGCUGAUGGUUGCCCCUCUGGAUCCAUCAAGCGAUGUGCUGGAGAGGAUCAUAUCACUAAGGAGCUUUUUAUGUGUCAGCAACAACCUUUAGGAAUAACAUCUUCUACAGAAGAGUUAGAUAAGAAAUAAGAAACUUCAUACAUGUAUGGUGUAUAAAAUUACAAAUAGUAGGGACGUCCUUCUAACUUCAACAGAAAUUGAUGUAUAGUAAACUGUUUCUAGUGGGCCAUUGCAUCUAAAAACAUGGUGCGCAUAAAAUGGUAGCAUAAUAGAAGUGGUCAUUAAUUAAGUUAAGAAUAUUACAAAAUAAUGUUUUACAACAAAAGGAGAUUAGACAGAGGCUUCAACUUCAAUUGAUAAUAUGACUGUUGCUUCAUGAAGCACCAUUCAGCCAUGGAAAGAAAAAACAGCCGUCCUUUCAUGUCAGACUUGCACUAAGAAUAUUCCAAACAGACCUCUGACUUCACUAAAUACACUUAUUGGUUUAAUUCUUCAAAUUUUGAUCUUUGUGGUAUUUAUAAAAAAGUAAAUUAAUAAAGCAGAGAGAGUUUAAAGAUUGUCACUUAAAACCUAAGAUACUCUUACGGAUAAGAUAACUAACUCAGUUCUGAAAAAAGCUUGGAGUCAGUCUUAUUUGUGUGCUGGCUCGCUUGGGGCCAGGAAUGUUUUUUUUCGCAAUAGAAAAAUAGUUGUACAUUUAUGAAAUAAAAGAAUAGUUCAUGCAAUUUCUUUCUGUUAAUUCGCUUGCAUAAACUGUAAGAGCGUAACUAAACAUAUACUAAAAUCCUAAAACUUUCCACAUCAAAUGACUAAUAAUCCUACAUAGACUGGAAAUUAAAUCCAUUUUAUUGCAUGGUCCUAAAAUAAUGAAGCAUCAGGCAAGGGCUGAAGAUCACGAUGUGUUGUUUCUACUAUCUCAAAUCUAACAAAUUUAGAGGAAUAUGCAACAUACCAUGAAGUAACUAUUACUACCAAACAUCAGCUAUUUGUCGUUUCCAUGAUAGCUAAUAAUGUACGUACAUCAGGGACAACUUUCAACAUGAUGGAAAAACACAAAAUUAGUUCAGCCUAAUUCAUCAACAUGCAGUGCAGGUGCAACAAAUCUAGCUUGAUAUAGUUUUGCUUGUGAAAUCUAUGUUGUGUCCACGAUAUCAGAGAUAAUAUUAAUAUGAUUAAAUCUUAACUGCAGCAUGGUACUUAAGAUACAUACUUGCUUGCCUUCAGAGUGGGCGCAUGAGUAGCAGGCGAUGAAUGUCCAUGGUGUGAAUAGAUGCGCCAUCGGCCUAUUUCAACCAUCGUAUAUAUCAGUUGCCCGGUACAAAAUUGCAGAAAU